rnacentral:rRNA from 1 species
CACGUAGGGCGCAAGCGUUGUCCGGAAUUAUUGGGCGUAAAGAGCUCGUAGGCGGUCUGUUGCGUCCGCUGUGAAAACUCGGGGCUUAACCCCGAGCCUGCAGUGGAUACGGGCAGACUAGAGGUAGGUAGGGGAGAGUGGAAUUCCCGGUGUAGCGGUGAAAUGCGCAGAUAUCGGGAGGAACACCAGUGGCGAAGGCGGUUCUCUGGGCCUUACCUGACGCUGAGGAGCGAAAGCGUGGGGAGCGAACAGG